ACACACGACGCUACAAUGGUCUGUACAAUUGGUUGCCAAGCCGCGAGGCGGAGCCGAAUCCGUAAAGCAGGCCUCAGUUCCAGAUUGCAGUCUGCAACUCGACUGCAUGAAGCCGGAGUUGCUAGUAACCGCAGGUCAGCAAUACUGCGGUGAAUACGUUCCCGGGUCUU
rnacentral:rRNA from 1 species